rnacentral:rRNA from 1 species
GCUGGCGGCAGGCCUAACACAUGCAAGUCGAACGUGAAGCCAGGCUUCGGCCUGGUGGAAAGUGGCAGACGGGUGAGUAACGCGUGGGAAUUUACCCAGUGGUACGGAAUAACUUCGGGAAACCGGAGCUAAUACCGUAUACGCCCUUCGGGGGAAAGAUUUAUCGCCAUUGGAUGAGCCCGCGUCGGAUUAGCUUGUUGGUGGGGUAAAAGCCUACCAAGGCGGCGAUCCGUAGCUGGUCUGAGAGGAUGAUCAGCCACACUGGGACUGAGACACGGCCCAGACUCCUACGGGAGGCAGCAGUGGGGAAUAUUGCACAAUGGGCGCAAGCCUGAUGCAGCCAUGCCGCGUGAGUGAAGAAGGCCCUAGGGUUGUAAAACUCUUUCACCGGUGAAGAUAAUGACGGUAGCCGGAGAAGAAGCCCCGGCUAACUCCGUGCCAGCAGCCGCGGUAAU